rnacentral:rRNA from 1 species
UGGGGAAUAUUGCACAAUGGGCGGAAGCCUGAUGCAGCGACGCCGCGUGAGGGAUGACGGCCUUCGGGUUGUAAACCUCUUUCAGUAGGGACGAAGCGUAAGUGACGGUACCUGCAGAAGAAGCACCGGCUAACUACGUGCCAGCAGCCGCGGUAAUACGUAGGGUGCGAGCGUUGUCCGGAAUUACUGGGCGUAAAGAGCUCGUAGGCGGUUUGUCACGUCGUCUGUGAAAUCCUAGGGCUUAACCCUGGACGUGCAGGCGAUACGGGCUGACUUGAGUACUACAGGGGAGACUGGAAUUUCUGGUGUAGCGGUGGAAUGCACAGAUAUCAGGAAGAACACCGAUGGCGAAGGCAGGUCUCUGGGUAGUAACUGACGCUGAGGAGCGAAAGCAUGGAUAGCGAACAGG